AAGGGAAUGACCAUAGUCACUAUUUGCGGCUGCGCGCAGCCCAGGUAUCCGGAAGGGGGCGUGGCGCCAGCGGCCCGGCGUGCCCGGGCGCUGUGGUUCUACCGUGGGGUGACUACAGUGCAGAUGGCGGAAAUGGACCUGGUGGCUGAGUUGCCGCGUCCUGCGGGUGCUGCGCGCUGGGCCGAGGUUAUGGCUCGCUUUGCGGCCAGGCUGGGCGAGCAGGGCCGGCGGGUGGUGCUGAUCACAUCUGGAGGCACCAAGGUCCCCCUGGAAGCGCGAGCCGUGCGCUUUCUGGACAACUUCAGUAGCGGGCGACGCGGAGCCGCGUCGGCGGAGGUCUUCCUGGCUGCCGGCUAUGGAGUCCUGUUCUUGUACCGAGCGCGCUCGGCCUUCCCCUAUGCCCACCGCUUCCCGCCCCAGGCCUGGCUGUCAGCCCUUCGGCCUUCUGGCCCAGCCCAGUCGGGCAAGCUGAGUCUGGAGGCCGAAGAGAAUGCGCUCCCGGGCUUUGCUGCAGCAUUGCAGAGCUACCAAGAGGCAGCCGCUGCCGGCACCUUUCUGGCUGUAGAGUUUACCACUUUGGCGGAUUAUCUGCAUCUGCUGCAGGCUGCUGCCCUGGCUCUCAGUCCAUUAGGCUCUUCUGCGAUGUUUUACCUGGCCGCGGCAGUGUCAGAUUUCUAUAUUCCUGUCUCCGAAAUGCCUGAACACAAGAUCCACUCAUCUGGUGGCCCACUGCAGGUGAUGGGCUCUUCUCUUCCAGAGAUCUGACCCCCUCUAACCAAUCUUGGGUUACUUUCCUCUUGAUCUGGAUGGCCUUUCAGCCUUCUGUAUGAGCUAGGCACUGGGAAUACAGAGAUGAAUAAGACACUGCCCUCAAGGAUCUCACAGUCUAGCGAGGGCCUGGACACCAGCCAUAAUCACAGAUCAGAAUGAUAAAUGCUGUAGUGGAGAUAACAAUGAAGAUGGUGCCAAAGAUGCUUUCCCCUCUGGUCAAAGACUGGGCUCCUAAAGCGUUUGUAGUUUCCUUUAAGCUGGAGACAGACCCGGACAUCAUAAUCAGUCGGGCUCGGAAUGCUUUGGAAGUUUACCAGCAUCAGGUGGUGGUGGCCAACAUCCUGGAGUCAAUAAAGUCCUUUGUGAUUAUUGUAACCAAAGACUCGGAGACAGAGUUACUGCUGUCCGAGGAGGAGGUGGCAAAAGGCUUGGUGAUAGAAGAGAAGAUAGUAGAUGACCUUCGGUCUCGACACACAGCUUUUAUAUGUGACAAAAACUGAAGGAAAUGCUCCUCUAGGAUCAAACACCAGAGCUCUUACCACUGAUAGGAACUAAGAUUGAUCCUCUGUUAAGGAUCAACACAGUGAAGAGAUAGUAAACGCGGUGUGCAGGCAAGUGCCUGCUGGGACUUCAGUUCUGAGAGUGAAACACUGGACGCUCUCCUGGAUCUGGAAAGUGAACAAGAGUUCACAAAGAGGACUGUGGGAUUGCGUGGCCUGCAGAGCAGAUGAGCCAGGAGCCGCUGCGUGUUGGCCUACUGUAAGGUCAUGGUGCGUGAAUGGUCAUGCUCUGAAGAAGUGUUUAUCAAGUGCCUACCAUGUGCCAGGGCCUUUGUGAGCUGUGAGGGUCUGAAAGAUGAAUGAGCACGUCUCAUUUGGGAACUGGAUGUACAAAAAUUUAUGUGCAAUAAAGUAUGUGCCCACAAAGGGACACUUGGAAAGGG